AGGAUGAACGCUAGCGGCAGGCUUAAUACAUGCAAGUCGUGGGGCAGCAUGGUGUAGCAAUACACUGAUGGCGACCGGCAAACGGGUGCGGAACACGUACGCAACCUUCCUUUAACUGGAGAAUAGCCCGGGGAAACCCGGAUUAAUACUCCGUAACAUUAUGAAGUGGCAUCACUUUAUAAUUAUAGCUCCGGCGGUUGAAGAUGGGCGUGCGUCUGAUUAGGUAGUUGGCGGGGUAACGGCCCACCAAGCCUACGAUCAGUAACUGGUGUGAGAGCACGACCAGUCACACGGGCACUGAGACACGGGUCCGACUCCUACGGGAGGCAGCAGUAAGGAAUAUUGGUCAAUGGACGCAAGUCUGAACCAGCCAUGCCGCGUGGAGGAUGAAGGUCCUCUGGAUUGUAAACUUCUUUUAUUGGGAAGAAACCCCCGAUUUCUAUUGGGGUUGACGGUACCAGAUGAAUAAGCACGGCUAACUCCGUGCCAGCAGCCGCGGUAA
rnacentral:rRNA from 1 species